GAUGAACGCUGGCGGCGUGCCUAAUACAUGCAAGUCGAGCGAACGGACGAGAAGCUUGCUUCUCUGAUGUUAGCGGCGGACGGGUGAGUAACACGUGGAUAACCUACCUAUAAGACUGGGAUAACUUCGGGAAACCGGAGCUAAUACCGGAUGAUAUUUUGAACCGCAUGGUUCAAAAGUGAAAGACGGUCUUGCUGUCACUUAUAGAUGGAUCCGCGCUGCAUUAGCUAGUUGGUAAGGUAACGGCUUACCAAGGCAACGAUGCAUAGCCGACCUGAGAGGGUGAUCGGCCACACUGGAACUGAGACACGGUCCAGACUCCUACGGGAGGCAGCAGUAGGGAAUCGUCCGCCAUGGGCGAAAGCCUGACGGAGCAACGCCGAGUGAGUGAUGAAGGUCUUCGGAUCGUAAAACUCUGUUAUUAGGGAAGAACAUAUGUGUAAGUAACUGUGCACAUCUUGACGGUACCUAAUCAGAAAGCCACGGCUAACUACGUG
rnacentral:rRNA from 1 species